AAUAAAUACAGUUUUGCACUGUUUAUAUCUAACGUUUGGCCAUUCGUCAUAUUUAAAAAUUUAUUAUGAUUACUAUUUUUAUUGUUAUUAGGUGAUAAAAUAUGAAUAAUACUUUAUGUGUGACUAAUUCUUUUUAAUUUUUUUAUAAUUUUUUCAAAUAAGAUAAACGGUUGAUACGGAUACCGACGGCUGCACUUAUU
rnacentral:pre_miRNA from 1 species